GGAUCGGGGUCAGACUAGAGCCAGAGCUGGAGAUGAGCUGCCCAAGUUGCAGUCCUCCAGCAUCCCAGGAUAAUAUGUUCCACUCCCCCACCAUCUUGCUCUGUGUGGACAAACUUUCCACGCUGUGAAGAGAAACGGGCUGCAAAUCAACUACUAACUGCAGGAAACGAGACAGAAUGGAGGGAAGAAGAGAUGAAAGCAGGAAAAUGAUGCUUCCAGAGCUUCUGCUCCAUCAAGUCAUAUUAUCCAAAGAAUUGCAGGCAGCUUGACAAAUCUUUACAAGAUAAUCAGCAAAGUGAAAAUUUUCACGCACGGCAGCAGAUGGCAAAACAACUAAGAGCACGGGAAGACAGGCAUCAGGAAAUUACAGUACUUCUAGAAAUUAAGCACUCUGUGUCACUGGCCCAGUUUUCUAAAAGCAAUGCAAACCUCUGUACAUCUAUGCCUUUUCUGUUAUAGUUAUGGAUAAUGCUCUGUCAAGGGGGAUGGGUGAAAAAAAUAUUAGAAA